AUAAUACAUAAUAAAAAAAUAUUACUAAAUUUACAAUAUUAGUCUAACAUAUUUUUAAACAUGUAAUUAUAUAAUUCAGUUUUAAAGUAUUUAUAUAGUUUUAUUCAUUAUUUUGGCAUUAUAAAUACCAAAUAAAAUGCUAAUAAGUAUAAAAACAAAUUAAAUUUUAAGGAAUGUUCCACUAUUAGGCACUUUUAAAAAAUGUUUUCCCGUUUGAGGCACUUUAUAGGGAAUAGACACUUUUUAUACUAAUUCUUUUUCUUUUGGACUUUUUCACCCUCAAUUCAAUCUUUAUGUUGAUUAUUCUCAAUUUCUCUUUCUUCUUAAUCUUCUUCCACUAUCUUUACCCAAAAUAAAUGAAAUUUUUCUCUCUCUCUCUCUCUCUCUCUCUCUCUCUCU
rnacentral:sRNA from 1 species